AGAGCGAACGCUGGCGGCAGGCCUAACACAUGCAAGUCGAGCGCCCCGCAAGGGGAGCGGCAGACGGGAGAGUAACACGUGGGAACGUACCCUUCAGUUCGGAACAACCCAGGGAAACUUGGGCUAAUACCGAAUACGUCCGUAAGGAGAAAGAUUUAUCGCUGAAGGAUCGGCCCGCGUCUGAUUAGCUUGUUGGUGAGGUAACGGCUCACCAAGGCGACGAUCAGUAGCUGGUCUGAGAGGAUGAUCAGCCUCACUGGGACUGAGACACGGCCCAGACUCCUACGGGAGGCAGCAGUGGGGAAUAUGGACAAUGGGCGCAAGCCUGAUCCAGCCAUGCCGCGUGGGUGAUGAAGGCCCUAGGGUUGUAAAGCACUUUUAGUGGGGAUGAAAAGCUCAGGGUUAAUACCUCUGGGUCUUGACCUAACCCAAAGAAAAGCACCGGCUAACUCUGCGCCAGCAGCCGC
rnacentral:rRNA from 1 species